AAGGAGGAGCAGCUCAGCAAGCUUGGCCUGGGCCGUGGGAGGGAGCAUGCAGACAUCUGGACCAACCGGCAAUGAGUUAGUUCUUGAGUGGUCUGUGGGGCCAGGAGAGGGGGGAAAUGGCCCUAAACUGGAGUACAGGAAGUUCUGCACCGACGUGAGAAGGAACUUGUUCACAGCGAGGUGACGGAGCACUGGUACAGGCUGCCCAGGGAGGCUGUGGAUUCUCCUUCCCUGGAGAUACUCCAGACCCAGCUGGAUGCCCACCUGUGCAGCCUGCUGUACGGAACCUGUUGAGCAGAGGGGGGAGUUGGACUCGAUGAUCUCUAGGGAUCCCUUCCGGCCCCUACAGUUCUGUGAUUCUGUGAUUGUAAUCGUUGCUUCUUGCAGCAGUAGAGUGUUUCAGAAGAGAGAAAAUCAUGGCGGCCAUGAGCUGGCUUUCUGUGGUUGGUAAAGCUGUGCUGAGAUCUGGGCUGACUAUUGCAGCUGAAAAUGCGUGCCAAGUCUGCAGACACAGAGGAAUAACUUUUCCAUGUAGGUUGAGCUUGUCUAAGCUUUUGUGGUACAAAGAAGCACGGCAAGGUGAUGGAACAGCUUGUCCUAGAUGCCAUGGCCAAGCAGUUGGAGAAGAAGAAGAUCAUCAGGAAUAGUCAGCAUGGAUUUAGCAAGGGGAAAGUGUGCUUGAGCAACCUCCUAGGCUUCUGUGAGGCAUCAGCAGCUAUAUAGAUGGCGGGAGAGCAAUGGAUGUAG